rnacentral:rRNA from 1 species
UACAGAGGGGGCAAGCGUUAUUCGGAAUUAUUGGGCGUAAAGGGCGCGUAGGCGGUGCGGUAAGUCACCUGUGAAAUCUCCUGGCUCAACUGGGAGCUUGCAGGCGAAACUGCCGUGCUGGAGUGUGGGAGAGGUGCGUGGAAUUCCUGGUGUAGCGGUGGAAUGCGCAGAUAUCAGGAGGAACACCGGUGGCGAAGGCGGGGUCUCUGGGCAGUAACUGACGUGAGGAGCGAAAAGCGUGGGGGAGCGAAACAG